CACCUCCUCAAAGCAUUUGCAAGUAACAAAUAAAUAAUCAGCGACAGCAAGCUGGCUGCACCAGAACAUUUAUUUCAUAUAAUGCACCAUUUAUUUUCAAUUAUCGUGGUGCUUUCCCCUCUCCCUCCCCAUGCACUUGGCAGGUCGCUGGUGGAAAGUUUGCAGAGUUGCAGAACGUCCUCAUACGAGAUGCACCAGGGAACAGGGAGGGAUGGCAGCAGGGUGGGAAGGACGGACGGACAUCUCAGAGCCAUGGGAGCUCUUGGGUUGGGCUGUGGUUUCCAAGCUGGUGACAAAAGCACCAAUCCCACCCCACAGCUCCUCACGGCCAAGGGACCUCCACACUUCCCAUGCCCUUGGGUGGGGAUGGGCUGCUGCACUGCCUUACACCUGCGCUCCCACCAGCUCUGUUAUUCCCACCUCUGUCUCAGCCACAGCCAUUUAAAGCUCUCUGACAUACCAUGAAGGAUUUUCCAGUGGGGUUCAGAGACGAAGAUUCGUAUUGAGAAGCCCAAAUUUAUUGGAUUAAUGCUGUGGACCAAAACCACGGCCGCUUAACAAUUGGAGGAUCUGUAUUUUACAGCAAUGUAACUAAUAAGGCCAUUAAUACAAACUGGGCUCACUCCUGACAUUUAUAUAGCUGUAAAUCUCUCUCAGCACUGGAAUUAUUUAUGCCAUCCCAGGCACUCGAGCAGCGCUGUCGUCCUUUAUCAGGCUGAAAGAUUUAAGCCAAGAGACAAUGAUGCUAAGUGUAAUGAAAGGGAGCACGAGCAAAGCGAGGACGGCGCUGGCGCAGCAGGAGCAGGGCCAUGACCUGACCAGAGCAUGCCAGGAGCAAAUGCAAUCCCUGCUCUUGGGCAUUGGGGGGCAGCUCCCCAUUUCCAGCAGCCAUAAGGUCAGGGCACCUGCAGCCCAGGUGCUUAAGGUCAAGCUCUUUAGGAUGCAUCUGUGCCUCAGGUCUGUCUGUCUCUUUCUGAGCAAGGAAAACUUGGAGAGAGAGAGAGAAGCAAAUAAAUCUGUACAGAGCAAGGAGGCUUAAAAACCCAAAAAGCAGCCCCAAGCAGCACAGGAAACUGUAAACAGUGAGAGGAGAGGGUGUGGGUGGUGGGAGCAGAGAGCAGCCUGCCAGCCCUCCGUGUGCACUAAUUAUUUCUGGCAUUAUCUGCACCGACAGAUAAGGUUUUCAUUAAUAAACUCGAAGAGGAGCAGGGGGUGUGGGGGGAAGGGAGAAGCAGCAGCAGCUGAGAGCUGCAAAUUGGCCACAACCAGCAGCAAAAUGCAAUCAGGUGCAGGGAGCAGCGAGGGGCCCAGCAGCAGUGGUGGCAGCAGAGGGGACAUGGGGGACUGUAAUUAGCAGCAGUCCUUUCCCUGCUCACUGCCUCCUAAUUCACCGCACGUUGGGAAAGAAAUCGUCAGUAAUCUUUCAUAGCAGGGCCUUAUUAAGCCCACUAUCUGCAGUUAUUUAAUUGGACGAGAUAAAGGCAGGGCAGCCCGGGAUGCAGGGCAAGGGAGGUGCAUCACUGCACCGCCACCGUGCUCCUGCAACAAGCAUGCAGGCAGAUGUGCAUGCACGGGGUGAUGGGCUGCAGGGAUGCUCAAGCCACGGAUUUUAACUGAUCUUGUGCAGGUUGUGACAACACAAAGGAGAGAAAGAGGAACCCCAGAUCGUGCUCACAGCAUUGGGGCUGGGAGCCAAAGGGCAGGAUGAUGCAGGAUGGGGCCAGCGCUGUGCAUUCGGACAGGCUCACGGGAGGCAGCAGGAUGGACGGAUGGGGUCACAAAGCCACAGCAAUUAGCAGGAGCAGGCUGGUCCCCUCUCGGCCUUGGUUUCCAUGGCAACGGGGUGGUUCAGCACAUUUCUCCAUGCACAACCUCACCACAAAGGUCGGGGCAGCGUGGCAGAGGAAGAUGUCCGGUCCCGCUGAAACAGAAUACCAUGGCAAAUCAUUAAAACAUGCACAAAAGAGUGCGACCUUCCCCAAAAAGCUCAAUCCUGAAGGUGCCUCCACCCCAAACAGCCACCUCAGGGUGCACACGCCAGGCUCAGCAGCAACCCCUUGUUCUAUUUGCCAUUGCUCACAGCCAGCAGGAGUGGCAUUUCCACCAGGCUCACCACCCUCCUGGUUCCAUGUCGCUGCUCUGAUUGCAGCAGGGAGGACACAGCAUCCCAAACACAAUGAUGUGCAGCUCUCCUGCAAGCCCUUUGCUCUCCAAGGUGCAGAGCCCCAGGGUCUCUGGCAAACCGCAUCCGCAGUGGGAAUGGAGAGAGAUUGAGAAGGGGAAGGAGAGGAUUGCUGGCUGCUUUGAUGCUCUCCUUAAACCGUGGGCUUUGCAAAAGACCUGAGAGCUGCACACAGGUGAAAGGACAGUAUUUCCUGAGGCAGAGCAAGGUGCCAUCCUGGUAAAUACUUCAUUAGGGGUCAAACUGCUAGCACAGGGAGUUCUACCUGCAGAGCUUUAUCGUCUGUUUGAAAAAGCAGCAGCUUAUCAGAAAGGAUUUCCUUCUGCCUGAAACCAGGAGUGAGUCUGCAUCCAUAUCAGCUGUUUAAAACCAGCACAAGCUGAUGGAUGCCCUCGUGCUGCCCAAGCAGAGCCAGCUCAGGGACCAGGGCAGCUUGGGCCCCUCGCUCAGUGGGCAGGAGGUGCAGAGACGACAGGUGUUCUCCCAGCCUUACAGGAGUCUUCCAGGUGCCCAUCAGCUUGGAGAGCCAGAGGAGAGGGGAUGCCAGCCAGGGACCUGCAUCUCACAGGGAAAAAGGCUGAGACCGAGCUUCACCUCUUUGAAAGGUAAGAUGAAAACUCCUCGUGCAACUGAAGCUUUCCUGAGCAAAGUUAGCAAAGACAAAUCUAUUCACAGGCAGAAGUCUCCUAAGAGGAGUUCGGAGCAGCGGCAGAAGAGAGGCUUUGGGCAGUUGGAAGAGACAUUCUCCUGGGAUGGAAGCUCGGGAUGGAGAGGUACCAACAACCUUACAGCAGCACCUCCUUUCUCACACCUGAUGUCACUGACUGAGGAGCUGAGCAAUAAGAACUCCCUUUUCCAGACGCUGGUAACGGCAGCGACCUGUCCUGCUUGGUUGUAACGAGCUCCACAAUCCCUACAGACCCACACAGCUGAAGAACACUUCAGUCCCCCAAAACGGAGCCGAGCUGCAAGAAAGCAAAUAGGAUCCAUCCCGGCUAAUUAUUUGUUGUUAACUGUCAAAUAAAAAGAUGGAUUGAUGAAAGGAGUUGGUAAGCAGAACGACAGCGCGAGUGUACUUGAAGGCAAGAGCUGUAACGGGAUCCGAGAGCAGGGCUUGUCGUAAUCCACGGGCUGUUAAUUAUCUAAACACCGGUCCCUCGGAGCUGCAUGAGUGAGGAUUAAUUAGCUUUUGAAAUAAUAGCUAAAUUGAUACCGCGAAGGAGUUGGGGUUCCAAAAUAAUGGCUGAAAAUUAGCCAGCUUGCUUCUCCGCUUCUCUCUGCCGUGCUCAGAAGGACAUUUGUCUCUGUUGUUUUUCCAGAAAAGGGCCAUUAAUCACAGCGGCAGAUGGCCCUUCCCAGACCUGUCGUGCUGCAGAGAGACAAAAGGAAGGCGGAGGAGAAGGAGGAAGCAAUCACCUACAUGCGUUGGGAGAAAGAAAUCCUCAGAACCAGCGAGGAGCAGCAACGGAGAGCGUCCUGCAGGAGAGCUGGAUCUGCCCAGGGUAACUGCUGGAGAUGGAGGACACCCCCUGUGACAGGCAGAUGCCUACAGGACAGGGUCUGACCGUCUCCAAAACAAGUUUCCAGCAUCCCCAGCCCACCCCACCAUGCCCACAUCCCUCAGUGCCACAUCCCCGUGGCUGUGGAGCACCUGCAGGGACGGUGACCCCAGCGCUCCCUGGGCAGCUGUGCCACCGCAUCACCCAUCUUUUGGAGAAGAAACUUCUCCUUGUGUGCUCUGCCCAUCCUCCUGCCAACGGGAGGCACACAGCCCUUCCCUCCCCUCUGUCCCACGCCUCUCCGUGAGCGUUUUCGGGGCACCCUGGGAAAUCAGCUCGGUGUGGCAGCAGGGAGGGAGCAGCCAGCCGAAGGCUGCAGCAUUAAUCACAGCAGCCUCCCCGCACGGAGCCCGUUGUCUUCAAAGAGUGUCUGCUCCAUAAAGUACGCACAGCUGACACGUGUGAAACCCUUCACAGCACUUACUGAUGUACGUUACCUUGGCUUUUACAGCGUAAUAAAUAACGGGGGAGAGGCGGACACCCGUCCCCUAAUGAGCUACGGCAGCAAGGAGGGGAUGAGUGUUUGGCUGGGGGGAAAGCCCCCUCGUCCAACACCUUCCAGAGCCACAGGGAACCCACAGACCCCCCACGAGCGUGUGCCCUGCACAGCAGUGACCCAAAGGAGGGCAGCUGACACUCAGCUCUGCUCUCACUCCGCACCGCUUCUCUGCAGGAUCAAACCUCGGUGGUUUGGUAUGCUACACAGGAGGCUUAAGCAGAGCUCAGAGGAAAGAUCCUAUUAGAUAAGAGUGAGCACAGCAGGCCCGUAGCUGAGGGAAGCCACUCCAUCUCCGGGAGGCUCGGUUUAUCAGCACAGGGCUCAGGCACACUGAGAACCCACCGCAGUGUCAGCAGCGAGCAGCAAACAUCUCAUUAGUUACAGCGGGGCUCCCGCUGCUCUGCCAGCCAGCGCUGGGCCUGCUCAGAAUGGGGAGCAGAGUUCCCUCCUGGAAGCAAAUCAAAGGCAGCACGGAGGGGGGUAGCACACCUUGCUGCUGCCGGUGCAGCGCCGUCCUCCUGCUGCUCCUGGCCUCAUUCCACUGCCAUGCCUUAGCUGGAUUAAUUGCUCACACCACGGGCAAGAGAAGUCAAGUGGAUGUCGUCUCCUUGGCCGUUACUCUGAUUUUUCAUCCUUCGCUUGCUGUGAAUAAAGAAGUGAGAGUGAGAGCGGCAGCCCCCAGCCCAGCCCAGGCUGCGGUGCACAGUCAGCUGCACAGCAUCCAUCCUCAGCAGCCACGGCAGGGCAGGCAGCACCGCUUUGCCCUUCAUCGUCCAGCAAGCACUGAUUUAUCCCCAGGUAGGCGCUGAGAAGUGGUGUGGUUUGCGAGCACCCCUUCAGCAAACCAGAGCCCGGCGGUGCUCCCUUCUCCUGCAGAGGAACCCGGAGCGAUUCCUGCUUUUGGGUGCCCCCACCAGGGACAGAAGCCAUGGCUCUUUGAGCCCUCAGAUUUCUUCCAGUCCAAGCCCAGGUUAGCUGGGCUUCCCAGCCCACUGAGUGCUGCGGGGAGAGCGCCUCCCUGAUUGCCUUCUAGCUUCCUCCCUAGCCCUGGGGAGGAAGGUGAUUUUUCAUUCCUUCUUAAAAGGUGAUUAAAUGCUGCAUUUGUAAAAACACUUCAUUCUGGGGAACAAAUUACGUAAAACACGCUCAGUGGGAUCUAAUACAAACUGAUACCAUCAGCUAGCAAUAGGGGCUCCGCUGCCAGGAUUUGCUUUCCAGGGGCAAUGCUGAGCUGCCUGGACAACCCUGCUCCAGCCCAGGGUCUCACAGCCUCCCGGUGACCCUGAGGCCUACAGCAUGCAUGGAAGGAGCCAGCUGCCUGCAGGCAUCUCUCUGCCAGGCCACAUCCCUGCUGGGUGCCCCUUGGCCAGCAGGCAGUGAGGGAUAGGCCAUUCUGAACAAGGCAGGGCUGCUGCACAGCUCCGUCAGUCUAGCGUACCUGGAUCUCUUGAUGCUGCUUAUUUCUACCACUCAUGCUUGUUUCUCCUGAGCUCUUCCGUUGCUAUUCACCAUGCUGAGGCACUCGCAGGCACAGAGAAGAGCAGCUGGAUGGGGUUUCUUUACCCAUCACUGGGUUUCAAGGCAGCUCCAGGGGAUGCAUGAGCUGCCACCGGCCUCGGCCAGUGUGCACCCAGCAAGAGACAAAGCUGAGUGGACACAGCUUCCCGUGCCCCGCAUCACUAACGAUAGGAAACGAUGCCGCUUCCCCGAGGACAGGCCACUUGUCAGGGCAGGUGGCUGCAGCAGAGAGGAAAGGAGCUCUGACUUCUUCUGGCCAGGCUCAAGGAUGCUCCAGGGGAAAGCAGUGCGGGAGGCAGCGUGCUGGAUUGAGAGAGAAAGCAGUGUGGAGCCCGUCUUGGAUCCGUCGCUGAUGAAAAAGGAAGAGAAGAGAAAUCAAGAUUUCCUGCCCCCAAUUUGCUGACUCAGUAAUGACUCAAGGGACUAAAUUUAGCUACUGAAGUGCUCAGCAGCAGGGCGAGCGGCUGCUGGCCUCUCCUUAACCUUAUUACAAGACCUUUCAAGCAAACCUUUCCCCAGCUCAGAAGGGAUUCUGCUCACGCUCCAAGGGGACUGGAUGCCACCUUUGAAAGCUGGAAGAAAGCAGAUGUACGUACAUAGGUACACACACAGCUUCCCGGUGCCAACGCAAGACCUGGGAGUGGAGAGAAGCACUUGAGAGCAUCACGCUUGUUGAGUCACCAUAGCAACAGGGAGUUUUUAAAAGCAAUUAGGUGUGGGUUCAUCUGCUCUGCUCAGAAGGAUGGCAGAGCGCUGCCUCUCCUCCCUGCAGCUCCUGCACACGGGGCUCCUAUGGCAGAGGCAGGCACGAUAGCUCCGGCUGCACGGCCACGGGCAGACCUGGAGCUGCUCUGUGAGUCAGCCGGCUGCUGGCACACAGCUCAGCCUGGUCCAGGGAAAGAUAUAGCUGUGACCCAGGCCUAUUUGUCCAGCCAAGACACAAUGAGGUGGAGUCAAAUGCUUUCCAACCGUACAAAAGUGUGAAUUCCUAACAGCAUCGAUAGCAUCUCCUGCGUGGCAGCUCGAGCCGUCCGCAAGCUAAGCCGAUUCCAUGCUUUCAUAAGACCCAUUUCCACGAGGUCAAUCAUUACAUAACCCCACAAAAAGAAAAACCUCCAUCGACCAUAUUCCACGGAGCUGGUGGGCAGCUGAGCUGUGCUGCCCGGAGCUCAGGACCUGGGCACAGGCAAUGGGGGUGACCCAGAGCCCCUGCACUGCCCAGUGCUGCAGGAAUGGAAGCAGAUCCAUGCACAUCACGUGGGAAUGGCAUCAGCCCCAUCAGAUUACAAAAACAUGCACUCCACUCUCCCAAUUCCUAUAUUCCUAUAGCUAAGAGCUUUUGGACUCUUCCCUCCUCCCCCCCCCCCCCCCUCCCAAUAUGCUAUCAUUCAGUUCCUCCUCCUCACUGCUAGAAAUUCCCAUGCAGUUUCUCAUUACAUCUUUUCACCUCCCUUCAAAAUCCCUAUCUUUUCAAGGCUCUGUAUUGGAUGAGCUGCUGUUGAGCCGUGGAUUUCCAGCUCCCCCCCCUCUCUCUCCCCCCUUCCAUUUUGCACUUAUUUUUCUGCACUGCCUGCUCGCAGAGGCUGUUCUGCCACCAACAGCUUUUUGGCCAUCUGAUGGAGCAAUCCUCACCCCUAUAUCUGAGUGUUUGCUCAGGGCUGACCCGGCCCACCUAUGCCCUGUGACUCACACUGGCUGGGGACGUUUCCCUUUGAAUCAAGGAGCUUCCAGGAGACCCGAGAGCUGCAAAGCAUGGGGUGUUUGGUGCCCACGCCGUGCUUCAGCAUCAAUCUCCCCUCUUUAUGAACCAGAGAUAGGAUUUAGCAUUUACCCAAAGCGCACAGCUUGGGAUUGCAUGCGUUUGAAGCUGGAGCAGAUUUCACUUUGCUCUGGCAACCAGACACGUUCCACGCUCAUUCUCCAAGGGAGAGAUGGUGUAAUGCUCAUGUGACAGAGGGAGAGCAGCAAGAUGCAGCUGGGAAGGCUGGGACGAGGCACAGCCUCACUGCCCCUGCGUGCAGCAACCUCAGGCCCAUCUCAGGGACUGCUGAACUGCAAAGCCAGGGAGCAAACAGGUGCCCCUGUGGAGCUGGGGGGCAACCAGUGAGUGGGGGGCAACCAGUGCGUGGGGCUCCCGCCGUGCCAGCACUGUGAGUCAGCUGUGACGCAGCCUUCCCAGCCACCCCGCUGCAGCACAGAGCUGCAAGCAGAAAGAAGGGAACCUCAUGCAGCAAAAGCACACAGGGUGGGAGCCUCACUCACUGCUUUCUGCCCGACCAUUUGCCUGCAGGGCUGCAGAGGCCGAGUUUCUGCAGCUCCCACCCGGGCUGGCUCGUUUUUAGGUUGAGAGGGGUGAGUAAGGUAUAUCUGCAGAGGGGAGAUAAGGUAAUCGGGCACCUCGAAUGCCUGGGAUCGCAUUAAAGCAAGGCUGGCUGGUGAGAUCCUAUCGCUGCACAGAAAUAUCUGCCACUUUAUCCUCGUCUGGAACAUGAACCAAAACAAAUCAGGAGACCAGCACAGUGGGUUUGGGCUCGCUGGCACAGCACGGUGGGCAGGGAGGAGGGGAAGCAUUGCCUUGGCAGAGCCUGCACAGCUGAGACAGCAACACAGGAGGAUGCUGCCGCAGCGACGGGGAGCAAGGGUGUCCAUGUAGGAAGGAGAGACACCUUGUGAAGGGCAGGAGAAGGGCCUGCAUCCAGGCUCGCAUACCCAAGGACACUGGGAAGGGUGCACAGCCCAAAGAGCACCUGAUAAAUCAGCUAGCUUUCACCUGGCUCGUGGGAGCGGCUCCAGGAGGGACCCCCUGUGUGACACCACAGCCCAAUCUGAUUGCUAACACAGGGAGCAGAGCCCAUCCCUAACAUUUCCCACCCUGGGCUGACCCCUGGGGAGGGGCACAGCUGCUCAGCUCCCACCUCCCCGAUCCGGCUGUGGCAGAGGGAACCAAACAGCAGGCGUGAGCUGGCUGCCAGCCUGCUCUGUGAGGAGCAGAUGAAAGGCUCCUUUUCUCCUCCACCUGGAGCACACAGCCAGCCUGGUUCACGUGCAUCUGCAGGAGCCAAGGAUAGUGGGAGCAGGCUCACUCGGUACAGCUGGGCCGUGGCUGAUAGCGGGACCUCUCACCGCUUCCCAGUGUUCGCAGGUAAUUGCAUGCAGCUCCCCUCCUUGCCCUCCUGCAGAGCUGUUCACCCAAGCUGGCAAGCUGGGAGGCAAGCAGAAAAAGCUUGCUGCUCUCAGGAAGCACGAAUCUUACCUCUGCCGGCGGUCGUGGCUUCAAAAUACAGUGAAUGUCCUUCAAGGAGGAGGGACCUCAUGCUGUGCCCAGUAAACCAGUCACGGCAGCUGCACGGAGUCAGGGCUCAUCCCUGCCAAAGCCAGGAACAACGUGCAUGCAAACAAAGCUCAGGUUUCCAGCUCCUUUCGUUCUGCCCAAGACACAUGCCCUGACUUAUUUCCAAAGCCAUCAUGUGAAGCUUGUUCCUCCUGGGAGAGCACGAGGUGAGCAGGAGCACUGGGAGCGAUGCCUGCCAAUAAACACCAUCCAGGGCUGCAGUGGCUGAGGGGAGAGGAUCCAGGUCUGCAGGCUUCUUUCUGCCAGAGCAGACCCUGCUUUGGCUUCUUCAGAAGCAUUUGGGAAGGAGGCUUUGCAGGCUAAAAAAGCACAACAGGCCAAGGAUUGGAGCAGGGAGCAGCCAGCACAAGGACCAUCCCAACCUGUAGGGAGCUCAGAACUGCACAUCGCUUCAGGAACGGGGACUGACAGCUGCUAAGAGUUCAUUGAGAGCAGCAAUAUUUGGAGAAGUGAGCAAGUGUGGGGAGACAAGGCAUGGGCAUAGCAAAGCAAGAAAGCUUGACGUCUCCUCUCCACCCUCUAAACACCACACCCGGCUGCUCACAGUGCUGGAGGGAUCGCAGCCCAGCCCUUGCAGGGCAAGCAAGCCUCCAACGCAGUGCAAAUACAGAUGGUGGAAAACAUAAUGCAUCAAAGCAGCCGGCAAAACAUGCUAUCAUCUGGCACUUAGCAGUGAUUGCUGUCUCUGGUUCCCCACUGAGGAUGAUGGCCCACACACUGCCAGGGCAGCUCCAAGACAUCAAAUGCACGUUGGUCAACACACCUUAGGAAGAAGCCUGAGAUAGUACGUUGUGCUUCUCAGGAUGGGAUGAUUACCCAGGGCAAGAGCCUCACUUAAAGCAGAGCUGCUGUUUCUGGACUCCACAGUUCCUUGCUCAGAGUUAGUUCAGGAAACCUUCAGCUAACACACAGAGAGGAUGUUACUGCCUAUUACCUGCAGCUGAAGAUAUUCCACCUGACUUAUCCAGGGCAAAUAAGGCUUGUCAAGAGCAACACGCUCAUUGAAUUGCUGUAUUGGUCAGUCUGCAUUGACAGCGUUGUGUUAUGAGAGGUAAUCAAAAUGCUGCUGGAGAACUAACGUGUAACAGCUCCGCUCGAGCUGAUGGCAAAAGGAGGCCAAGCGCUGACAAGCCAGCCUCAUCUACAGCACGCAAGAACAGGGACUGACAUACAGCUUAGACCACGUAUUCAUUAACACAAUGGAGGAAUGAAUAAAAGUUCAAGGGGUGAAGGAAGAAAGCUGUUUCCCUUGUAAUUUAUGAACAUCCAGAACGUGACGCUCUUGGCCUUGAUAUCACCAGGUAGAUGGCAUGGCAGAGGGCGGUGCACCCUUUGCACCUGGACAUUAGCUGGCCUGCGCUGGCUCUGACAAAGGAGAGACAGCAGAAAUUAGAUAAAAUCAUGGGAAGAAGCACACCAAAGCUGCCAGGUGAGGCUCUCAGCACAGAGCUGAGCAGGUCUGGGAGCUGCAGGUACCGCUCAGCCCCAGGCAGCUCUGGGAUUCCCUGGACAGACCCCAGGGCAAGCUCCAGCGACCCAGCUAAUGACUUGUAUGGGAUUACUCUGCAAAUGCUGGCUCACAAUAAAUGACUGUGCUUUGGGGAAACCUUUCUGAACCAGCUGUAUUGCGCAGAUGUCCUCAGGAGUAAAAGUGCUUAGCAAGAUCAGCAUGAACCUGGCACUAGAGGCUGCCUGGGAAAACAAGGCCCCAGCUGGUAACACUAACCUUGAGGAAGAGGAGACCCCAGGAAGGAGCAUGGGGCCAUCACCCCAUUCUGAGUCUCUUCAGCAGCUCUAAGAAGGGUGCACAGAUGAGCCACGGGUCUCCCUCUGGUCAACGGGAAAGCAACCUGCAGGAAAGUCCUAUUUCAGUGAACUCCGAGAAAGAGGAUCUCUCAUCCUUCAUGCCUGACUGCCUUCCUGGAGCAGCGUUUUCCUGGGUUAGCAAAUACCACCAACCCCAACCUCUGCAGGCAGAUGGCUUUUUGCCUUAUAGCAGCCCGCUAAUAGGAAAGCAGUGGGGGACAGAUGCUCCUGCCUUCCCACGUUAAGCCAGAGCAGCAGCUCCGAGCUGGCAGCAGCACUUGCUCACAUCAGUGCCCGAAAGCCACGGAAGGCAGCAGGAGGUGUGGGGUAAGCACCGACACGCAGGCACCAUGCACAGAGCCAGCUGGAGCCUGCUCAGAGGCGAUGCUCCCAGGACCCUCCGUGCCCCUCCAGCAACCCAGAGCCUUCCAAGCACCAGCUGUACCUCGUACCCACGCGUGCUUCUAUGCUUCAGCUAGCAGAAUAAAUACAAAGCAGCAAGCAGCAGCAAACAUCUUCCUCUUGACUGCUGCCGAGGGAAAACGCUCUUCAUUUCAGCCCCUCUGCUGCUAACGUGAGGGCUAAGAGUUAAGCUGGCAGCUGUCCUUGCUGGGUGGAAAGGAGCAGUGCAGUCCUAACAGAGCUCCUGGCUGGUGGAGGAAGUGCAGACCUAUUUAAAGGAGUCAGAGCCCUUUUCAUCUGCCUUCUUCGAAAGGGAAAGAGCCCACGUGAAUAUAUCUAACCAGAGCUAGAGCUUUGAACCCCUACGGGAAAGCCCUAUUCACCUCUUUCAGCCAAUUGCCCAGCAUGGCAAGAGCUGUUUCUCUGGCAAUGGCAACGUUGGCUCAUUUUGAAGUCUUUCCUCCCACAGACAGCAAAGCCUCCCUGGUCCCACAUACCCCAAAAGGGCAAGCGUACAGCAUGAAUGCAACUCACAGCACCCAGCAGCACCUGUGGGACCCCUCCUCCUGCCUAUAGAGGAAGGGGCCCAGUCCCCACUUCUGACAGCAGCACGCCAACUGGUAAAUAGCCACCCAGCCCCCACUUUGUCCCACGGUAAGGCUAAUUUCCAACAGCAGCAUCUCCCUGCAGAAGCAGUCCUGGGGUGGGGAGAUGGGAAGGAUGCUAGAGACAGAAAUGGGGACCAACAGCCCCGGGGGAGCUAAGGGGGAUGCCGUCCAGAAGGGAGGAGAGCUCACAGCUGUCCUUGCAGUGAGUGAGGGCAGGAAUACAGGCAGGAGCAGUGCUUUAAGUCGGGCAGUGCUACGGCCGUGUACCUUUGGCUAAGCUGGUGAGAGAAGCAGUUUGUCAGGAGACAGAAGAGGCAUUCGCGUGACAGAUAUGUGCAAGGUUUUCUGCUGUCGUUCUUUCUGCUUUGGUUUUGUUUUGCUUUGAAGUAAUUGCUACACCUCCGAAAAACAACUGCCUCAUCACGUUGUGAUCUUCCCCUCAAGAAAUCCUCGAUGUUGGCUGUUUCCACCCGGCUCUGCAGAGCCCUCCACGCCUUACAGAGACGAAGUGGGGAGGAUCGUGGCACGGCACUGCCCUCUUUGGGUAAAACCACCCACUGAUCUCCACCACGUUGUGCACACAGCUUGUCCUUUUCUCGUGUCCUGCUGGACGUGAGCAGCUCUGCAUUCCCCUUGCAGGAAGGGUGGCCAGGAGAUGCUGUUCUCCAAUCCCAACCCCAAACCCAUCUGCCAUCCAGAGCCACUGCCAUGCUGCUCUCGUAAGGCUCUGCUCCCCAGCGGGAUGCCUGGUAAACUGCAGAGCUGCCUCCAUUUUCCCCCUCUAGAUGAAAAAGGCUUAGUUAAAUGACUGCAAAAAUGCAGGGUGGGAAGAACAUCCUGGAGCAGCAUGGAAACCAAGAGUGGAGGAUGGAAAGGAGAACAGCAGGUGAUGUGGUUGCUGCAGAUCCUACCUUCACACGACCACGCAGACGAGGAUGCAUUAACAGUGGUAGGCAACUGUAAAUCCAGCACGUCCUUAUCUGGAAACACAGGGUUUCUCCAGAUACCCCUGAAAGAGGAAAAAACCAGAGGAGAUCACUGAAAGAAUUCCCUUAGGACCUGAAGAAGAGAUCCGUACACCUCCCACACAUAAGCAUGCAGCACUGCUGCAGUUGGUGCCCGGCUCUGCUGCACCGGUCCCAAACCACCAGCAGGAACAACUGGGUUGGUAAAGGCAGCCAUUCGGAAGCAUCUCCUCUGGGUAAAAGGAAGAGGUCGGCAUCCUGUCCAAACUGGGAGCUCAUGGGUGUAAUAUAGGACCCCUUUACAGCGCUGUGUGUGUGCCCACGGUGUGAGCGCAUGCAUCCACAUCCAUAUAGGAUGCAGAACAAAGCCCCUGCCAUUCCAGUCCGACUUCCAGGCAGAUAAUAAUAGUUCAGCCACGUUCAGCUCCAGCCCCACUCAGCAGCAGGUCUCACCAGGCUUUACAAAGGGACAGCCACGUGCCUUUGAGCCGUGCUCGGGUAGAGCCUAUUUUUGGGCUCUUUGUCAGCACACCACCCUGCUGUAAGCCAUCACCUCUGAGGUUAAUUAGACAAAAUGCUUCAGCGAGGCCACAGGAGGAGCAAGGUUUCCUUUUCUCCACGUUAAGCCCUUUUACCAACACUUCAAUAGAUGCUGACAUCGCUGCGCUCUGCCACGCUACCCAUCGCACCGCUGGUGAUAACAGCAGCUCCAUUGCUGGGGAUGAGGGACAAGCAAACAAGAGAGAAAGCAAUAAGAGCAGAACAUGGUUAGAAAUCAUCGGCUACAGCAGCAGCUCCGGAAGACACAACUGUGCUCGUCCCCACUGCAAUCAACCCAGCACAGCAUCAUAGCCAGCACAGUGCUCCGUGAGCUCCGCAGGGCUGGGGAUGGCUGGGAGCUCCAGGAGCGCGGUGAGGAAAGGACGGCGCUCUCACUUUACCACAACACGACCAGCCGCUCCCAAAAACAGCUUGGCUUCCACGUCCCUGAACCUUGCAGGUGUUUGUUUAACAGUCUGCAUAAAUUGAGGCUAAUCGCAGCUCUGCCAGCUGCCGAGGAGCCCAGCAGCCUGGAGGACGCGGCCCCGUUAUCUCAGUGUGAGCUGAGCGAGCUGCUCCCGAGGGGGACAGCUGAUCCGCUCGGCCCUAAGGGAGCAGCCGACCUCUCACACCCACAGCCUCAGCGGGGGGAAGCGGAGGACGGAGGCUGAAUGGGAUUAGUGCCGAGAUGGGGGGUGAGGAGCCGCUCGCUGCUGCUGCUGCCAGGGACACAUCUCCGCUGUCCCCUUUGCGCUGAGGGCUGGGCUGGAGGCCACGGCCGGUCUCUGUAGGUCUGCUAUGUACAUAAAGGCAUGAAUAAUAGAUCUAACAAGCCAACAAAAGCACUUUAUCUCAAGCGUGCUUCUGUCAGAAAGCCAGGCUUCUCCAGCACGUGGGAUGGUUUCCAGACAGUGCCUUUUCCUAAGAGCAUGGGGGGUUUCCUGGCUUUGCUGCACCCUCCCUGACUUCGCUCGCAGGGAGUGAACACAGGGCAGGGCUUGGCCACAACAGACCCCCCCUGAAUGCCUUUGGCUCACCUCACAGACCUGGCAGGAUGGGGCAGCAUCCCCUGAGCCAGCUCCAUGUGCCACCUGCAGCCCCAGCAGAGCCCGCACGUGGAGAGCGCAGCCACCCGCAUGAACAGAUGGUUGGCUUCCCUUCACCUUAAACAAGGAGCAAGGGCACUUCCUUCCAUCCUGAAGCAGGGGUCAUCUGUAUCCCUGAAAGCUGCUUCCCCAUCCAUCCGUAUGCCCAGCAGCAGAAAAGCUGGAGGAAGGGACUCGUGCUCUCGUGCAGCUCCCCAGCAGUUGGGCAGUGCUCCUGCUGCUGGCCAGCCUGCCUUCCCUGAGGGCCGCCAGGGUUAGUGUGCUGUGCAGUGACUCUCUAAGGCAUGGGCUGUCCCCUCCCCGUUUGCUUUAUGGAAAUACAUAAGGUCUUGACACGAGCAGAGGAAAUUACAUUCCUUUAUCACGGCAGUGCGUGGCCCUGGCUAAGGCAGGAAGAAGAACACGAGCAACACACCCAGAAUACAAUUCUCCUCUCAACAGUGGAGGUCAGCAUUGAAAAAGCCAGCAGCUCCUUCGCCCCUCAGCUCUCUGUUUCAUUUGCAUUUCAAUUUCUGGAGCUGCUGAACAUCGGCCCCACAAAGGCCAGGCGAUGCUCCGGGCUGGAUUCUUGCUCCACAGGGCAGACACAGAGAGAAGCCAUCCCUCACAACCCAGUCCCCAUGUCAGGAGGCACCACCAGAUGCACCAGGAGGGAAGGCAGGAGCAUUCUGGCACGCUCAGCCUGGGCACAAGCAGGUCAUGUUUCUCUGCCAAUACCUGGACCAGAGCAAUGCCUCCUCUCUCCCAUUCCCAACAGGCAGGCAGCGGUCCAAAUUCAGUUUUUAGGCAAUUGGAAAGCCAGGGCUCCCACCCACACCGCUCCUUCCUCGGCUGCCAGCAAGCUCCCAGAAAUUAGGCUGAAUCUCCCUCCAGUACAGAGUUCUCUGCAGCAUCAGAGCAAGGCCCCAGCAAGGGCCUGGGUAACAAAUGGCCCAGCAGCAUGCCAGAUGGCCAAGAAAUCCAGCCUGAACACCCACCCGUUCCUGGGAGCGCUGAAUGCUGCCUCUGCCUACAGACAGGCACGAUAGAUCAAGCUCAACUGGAGGAGAUGGUGAAAUCCACUGUUUAGAACAACUGCUUAUUAGCAGCCUGGGCUUGGCAUGGGAGACCACAGCAGGGCCAGCCCUGCCUGAAAGGCUGCAGCAGCUCCUCCAGCCUCACCAGGGCAAGGAUCCCAUCACAGGUCCUGUGCAGACUCACUCACCCUGAGCCCGGUGCAAGAGGAUCAGCAGCAGCUCCACUGUGCCCUUUCCAAGCCGUCCUUGGGAAGCAUAAGGUGCAGCUAAAGCUUUGAUACUGGAUGAGAGACUUUUUUUGGCCACCAAUCAGUCUCUGAUUUCUUUCCCUAAAAGAGCCAUCUGGGACGUUGUCCUGAAGAUGCAGCUGGUCCAGAAGGCAAGAGACAGUGCAUCAGUACUGCAGGAAACAGGCAAAGCAAGCAGGCUGUCAGAGGAAGGAGUGCUUCUCCAUCCACAAAUGCAGGAAGCUGCUCUCGUCUCCUCACCACUUCCCAGCCUCAGCAGACAUGGGCUGUCAGAAAUGAGAUAAAAUAGGACAGGGGAUCGCAGCAGUUGAAAUCUCUCCUGUGUUUGUCUGGAUACCCUCCAAGAACUCAUCCGAGACGCUGACAGCUGAGGGCUGAGGAUUACAGUGUGAGCGGGGACAGCUCUGCUGCACAGCCCACCUCACCCUGGAGGAGCUGGCAUCUCAAAGGUACAUGGAACAGCGUGCUUUGGAGGAAUUGGACAGGGCUCAGCAUGUCAGAGCUUCGGUACAGCAUCUCUGCAGCUCAGAGCAACAGCUCCUGCCAGAGAAAAAAAAAAAAUAGCCAUGAGCCAUCGUGCUGCAAAGAUUCCAUCCCCUCUGCUGGCAGCUCGAAGGACAAGCACGUACUGCCUCGUUUUCUUCUGGCCCCAUUGAUUUUCUGCAGCUCCAUCUCCAGGAGCACACACUGCAGUUUGUUUGGCCUUGCAGGAAUGCUGGGGCAGGAUGAGGAUGCCUACAGAUCGUGCUGGGGGCAGAGAGACAGCAAAAGGUAUCACAGGACAGCUGGGUUAAGACAGAAGAGGGAACAGGCACAGCCAGGCUCAUUCCCACAGCCCAGGACAAGGACUGCUUUGUGCAAAACCAGAGGUGCCCAGGUCAGUCAGCUCCUAG
ensembl:lncRNA